rnacentral:tRNA from 1 species
UCCUUGGUGGUCCAGUGGUUAGGAUUCCACACUCCCAAUGCAGGGAGCCUAGGUUUGAUCCCUGGUCAGGGAA